rnacentral:lncRNA from 1 species
UCGCUGUGAGCGCCUCGGCUCACCUCGCUGGGAUCCCCUUCCUGAGCUUCGUUGAUCACUGUGACUGCGCAAAUACAGAGUCAGCUAAGCCAGAGGAAGGCCUGGGGCCCAGGAAACAGUGGCUGUUGCUCAAGGAAAGCAGUGACUCCCAGGAUGACAGCUGCGUGCCAGGUCUCAGGAGCAAGCAGUACCCACUGUGGGGCGGGACGUUGAGAGCUCCAGGAGGAAGGUGAGAAAACCAAGGCUGAGAAGGUAAGCAACUUGCUUCAAGUCACAUAAGAAGUCGCAAGAGCAGAAUUCCAACCUAAUAGUUAGUCUCUAGAACACGUGCUCUUUUUCGUUAGCUCCAGUAGCUUCCCUCAGCCAAAGGUCCGCUUUACAAAUUCAUCGUUGCUGCUUGUUAUGGGUUGAAUUGUGUCCCCCCAAAAUUACGUUGGAGUCCUAAUGCACGAUACCACAGAAUGUGACCUUAUUCGGAAACAGGGUCCUUGCAGAUGAGGUCCUAGUGGAAUAGAGGAGAUCCCUAAUCUAAUAUGACUGGUGUCCUUAUAAGAAACUCCACACGAAGAGACAGACAUGCUCCGGGGAGAAUGCCAUGUCAAGAUCGGAGCUACGCUGCCAAAGCCAAGAAGCUACCAGAAACUAGGAGAAAGGCCUGGAACAGAUACUUCCCUCAUCUUCAAGGGAAAUAAGGCCCAGACAACACGUUGAUUUUGAACUUCUAGCCACCGGAACUGUGAGACAUUCAAUUCCACUUGUUUAAGCCACCCAGUGACAAGAGCACUAGGAGCAGGUUUUGUUCU